GAGCCCAUCAUGAGGGCAGGGGCAGGAGCAGGCACCACAGGGGAUGGACACAAAGCUUGUAGGGUGUCACCAGUUGGGUAGCCAGGGCCAGAUCCUGACUUCAGUGGGUGUGGGGGGUUCUCAGUAUUAGACACCCCCAUGAACAGGCACCCACUUCCAGAGCACAAUGACCGUAAGGGUCACAUGAUUACUGUGAUGGCCGAAACAAAUCCCCCUUCUGGUACUAACCCGCCUGGCAUGGACCCUGCGAUUCCAUUGGGCUGUGGAUGCCACGAGGAGCCUGGCCAGUGUGCACCCAGAAGGAAACAGGCACUGAAAGCGGAAGGCCAAACCUCCUCAAUGGGUGUGUCUUUCUCCCCCAGGGCUCAACAUCAGAGAGGCAAGAGAGCUGUGGUCCCGGGACGGGCUCCAGGACACCGAGCGCCUGGGCUACAGAAGAAUGGCCAGGGUGGGAGAGGGGGAGAUUACAGCCAACAUCCUAGUGCAACUAUUUAACAUCAGGGUCUUCGGCCAGGUGCCCGACGCACUGCAGGGGCUGUGCUCCGUGGGGCAGCCUUGAAGGGCCCCCCCCUUCGCAUGACCAGCUCCCACCCCCUGCCGCAGGUGCCCAGGCUCUUUUUGGGAAGAAGAAAUGUGGGACUCUACUACGCCUCUCUUUAGACAAUCAGCUCCUGAACAAAGUGAUAAUAUGACACCAUUACCCCAUGCUGUGAAUCCCACAAUUGUUGGCUCACAGGAAAUCUGCAAAGGUUUUCAUCAAACUUCAUCUGCAAGGAUUUCCAAACUAACACUCAUUUGGGCAAGGGACAAAUGGAAGACAGAUUUCAAAACACACUAUGGACAUUUUAACUGAUAUGCUAUUUGAGCUAAUUAACGAUCCUCUGACCUUGCAACACUUCAUCAGUGAUGUAUUUGGGGACAGUGUCAUCUAUUCGGGUGACAUACUUCUCUUUUUGGAGAAUCCAGAGCAGCACACACACCACAUCCAAACCUGGAGCGGUUUCGGCAGCAUGGUCUCAACACAGAAUUGGAAAAGCGGAACCUCCACAGAGUUUCUGGGGUACAUCUUGUCCCCAGAAGGUGUUACGAUUGAUCCAAAUAAGGUGGAAGCCAUUCAUAAAUGGGACGAAGUUUGAAGUCCUCAAGAAGUUCAGCGCUUCCUAGACUUCACUCAUCCUGUGAAAUCGAGAUGUGCUGGCUCUCAGUGAUG